GUUUAAAACAGUGUUCUCCUAUUUUGGCUUUUUAAAGGUGCUGUAGGUAGGAUUGCAAAGAUCCAGGACAACUUUUCAGUGUCUACCCCCUUUCCGCUAAAGCCCAAAAUGGUCUCCU